UGUUUCUCUCCUCUUCUCAGUCUUUGUCUCCCUCUCCUUCAGAGUUGAGAUCUGAACAAGAUCUAGUUUGUUCUCCGGUCAUUUUAAUUCGAUUCCUCUCUAUUGUUUUUUUUUCUUUUUUCUUUUCCGUCUUUGGUCUAUCUUCUCGUUUAGGCCUCUCCGAUUUCUCCUCAACAUAUGCCCAGAAACCCUAAUCCCAAAAACUCCCUGUAUUCACUCUGGCAAAUUGAGAUUUCAUUUCAAAGCAGAAGGAGGUAAAUCAGGAUUGGGAACUGAAAAUUGAAAUCAGAAAGAAUGUGAUUAACAACAUAAGGAAGCAUUGUUACCAUGUUGGGCCACUUUCAUCUACUUCCACCUAUGGUCUCCAUGGAACUGGUGAGAUUGUACUCUCUGUCCCAACUGUUUGGAUACAUAGAAUUUGAAGUUCUUGUCUAACUCAGGAAUGUGGGAUUGGUGUACAAUGCAAAGUUCAUAGGCCAGCUAUGGAGGUACCACCACUCAGCUUUCAACAUCAUCUUCUCUACAACUUUCACUUUAGUUAUUUUAUUAGGUACUCACUCACCACU